UGUGGGAGUGAGCCUGCUCGCGAUUGCGUCAGCAAAGCCAGCAAUGAUGUUGCCUGACGCACCGCCAUCGCGAGCAGGCUCGCUCCCACA
rnacentral:misc_RNA from 1 species